ACUUUUGUAACAUUAUCGUAUUAAGUAACAUUUAAUGUAACACUUUAAUAUAAUGUAACACUUUGUUGUAACACAUGAAUAUUAGGUAUCACUUGAUUGUAACACUUAUGAAUUUAUUUAUGCUCAAUCCUUUUUUUCUUAUCAGGUUUAUUUAUUUAUUUAUUUUAUUUUUAUUCUUCUAACCCUUUAUUUUUUUUUAAUAGUUCUAACCCUUUACUUUCUUUUUUUUCUUUUGUUCUUUUUAAUUAUUAUUCUUUUUUCCAUUAUAUCUCAUCUUAUUCUCGAUCUCAAAUAGUUGUUCUCCUUCUCCUCGAAGAUGAAGUUGCAUACGCCCUACCGCAGCCGCAGCGACAACCAUAACCACCGCUGACCACAAAUUCUCUCUCCCUUUUCCUUUUUUCACUCCUUUAGCAGUCUAGUUUUGUCUUCUUCAUCUCGAUCUUAAUUUCCUCCAAUGGCCGCAAUUUUCUAGAUAUUUUCCCGCAGAUUAAUCAAAGAUGCCCUCUUUUCCCCCAAUUUUACUUGCAGAUAAGACAUUGCCUUUGUGAAAUUAGGGUCAUGUGAGUUCUUGAUAAUGGCGACAGAUGUUAAUCAUAAGCUUCGAUCAAAUUGCACUGGCCUUCGAUUCAAUAAAGGUUUGGUUUGCUUGGACUACUGGAAUAAUAAUGCAUUUUGCAUAGCUUUUGCCAUUCCUACUACUGUGAAAUCCGAAUAAUGCCAAGGAUAUAAAAGAUGAAGCCUAUAAAUUAGGCUUUUGCUCUAUGUAUAAAAGUCGAUAGAGCAAGGGUGCAAGUUGCGACAAGGCAGGGUAUAAUAGCCCCUUGUCUUUAAGAUUACUAGUUUUACUAUUGUAAAAAAAGAGUAUACUUGUGUAUUUGUAUAUAUACUAAUUUUUUUUUUUUUUUUGGUGAAGGAGAGGGGCGAUGCCCCUGGAUGUAUUUAUACAAAUGUAAAUAUAGUAAUUAUAAUAAGUUAUAAUCAAUGUUAAAUCAUUUUAUUA